UGUUUUUGAGGUCGUGCUAAAUUUGUGCUUGCCGCCUAUCAAUAGAAAAAAGUACUAUAUUAUUGCUUGCUGCUUGUACUAUAUAACAUGUAAUUUCAUGCUCGAGUUAUUGUUAGCUAUCAUCUACUCUAUUUUGGGUUGUUAAUUGAUAAGAUUCUUCCAGUCUGUUAUAGAUGUCAACUGCUAUGAAACCCUUAGGGGUUGGCUCAAGUGGUAAAAGCCUUGGGCUUGGGGGUGCACUUGUAUGAAACUCCUUUCCGAGGGCCUGUGCGCCCCCGGAAUUAGUCGGGACGCUGUUCCUGGAACGUAUUUGAUGGUAGCCAAUGCAACUGCAAUGAUGGUAGCCAAUGCAACUGACUGGAGGAAAUUUCCCAUGUUGGCAUAAAAAUUAUUAGCAUCAGUAGUAGUGGCAAUAAUUCUAUGCUACCUAGUGAUUCCGCUUGUUUAUGUCCCACAAUCAUAGCCUGUCUUGUAAUGGUAGGAACGUAUUUGAAACUAAUGACUACUAUGGCUCUAUUUAGAUCUAUUUCCUCCUCAUUUCAUUUGCCUUGGAAAUAAAAUGUGUUAAAUACUAGCCAAUGAAGGCUACCAGUUGGGCU